rnacentral:tRNA from 1 species
GUGGGUAUAGCUCAGUGGUAGAGUGUGUGCUUAGCAUGCACAAGGUCCUGGGUUCAAUCCCCGGUACCUCCA